GGUGCCGGGCGGCUCGAUGUCCCCAGCCCCUAGCACGGGACAGCAUGGGGGGGACCCCAGUAGCUACCUGCCCGGGGGGGGCAGCCUGGAUCCUGGCUUGUGUAACUGGGGACGUUGCUCUGCUCUCCGGCCCGCCCGACACGGCACCUGCCCUCUGGGCAGACAGCUGGGAAGGGAGCUCUCCGGGCCCUCACCUCCGGAAGGAAAGAGGCGCAGCGGCGACAGUAGAGGAAGAUUUGCUCCCCACUGAUCCAUGGUGUUGAGUUUAUGGAAGUUACCACAUUAUCCUUUCACUUAGAUUCUGAUAUGCUGUUGGAACCACUUAUGAAAAGCUCUGUAUCUGAAUACAUUGAGUAUGAAUUGUGAACUCCUGGAUGCUGUUCCCUUGAUUAAACAGAUAUUAUACGUGCCUUUAUGAGGGAUUAAACAUACAGCAACCAGCCCAAGAAAUUCUCUGGUCUAACGUCAGUUGAGCUCCUACUCUAUGUCCCAAGCGUAACCCUCAGUGGAUACAACAGGGACCAUCACUCGAAGAAGAAUGAGGCUUCCAUCUCCAGACUUCAUACUGACUGUGAAGAAAAGUACAGCCAUUAAUGGAUACUCUUAACACAGAAACCCCGGAGCCCCUGCAUCUACCUUCUGUUAUCCUAAAAUUUGUACUUAAAGUCAGACAUUUAAAAACAAAAAAAACACACCAGAAUGUUAAUUGCACACUGCAUCAAACUCUUGUACAUCUGCUCCCCAGUCCGCUUCACUCUUGUCCAGCAAGGCACUAGGAAAUGGUUCAAGUUUAGGCAUUUGCUGUACACUUGCAUUUAAAAAGGCACAUCUUUAUUUUAACGAUGCUGUAUUCCCCUUUCAUUAAACCUCACACAACAUUCCACUGGGGGGGGGGGGGGGGAGGGAGGGAGGGAUUGUUGCUAAAGCCUACAGGAAAACUCCCUGCACCCAGGUAGUUUGCUCACAGAGGUCAGACAUUAACACCACUAUGAAAUAGGCAAGAGACGCAAGCGCAUUUUGGGUAUUGAAAUGUAUGUGAACACACCACACAGCAACCCACUGGACUUCAGGAUUCUUAUAUGCAGUCUUGCCACAAACUAGAGAAUUUAAUGAAGCCAGGGGCAGAGAUUUUUUUUUAAAUUACAGUUUUGAAAACUACUGUAUCUGGAUGUGAAAAGCAUGCGUUUUCCAUUAGGUAACCGAUCGCAUUUGAGACCUGAUCUUGACUUGCAUGCAAAUGUGAGGAUUUGUUUAUGGAUUCAUGCUUUGGUGAUUUUUGCUUAUAACAACUAACUAAACAUAAUUGGAAUAAUUAGCCUGAUUGCUCAGCAAAAGCUCAAUUAAAGAUGAAGACUGAGAAAUAGAAAUUAUAUUUCUCAAUCAGUAGGUGGCCGACUAUGGUAAUACUUCCCAUUAGUCAGCAAAGCCUCUGGGGCAUUGAAAUGUCUAAUUAAUGUAAGUAAAAUAGCAGCUCAAGGAACACCACUGACACAAUCAGACAUAGGCACACUGAAUUCAUGGGACAUUCAUGUUUUGAAAUCCAUAACUUUGUGAAAUGAACCAGAUUGACAGCACUUCAACUGAGCUGGAGAGACCACCCUUAAACGAGAUUAAAGCAUUCCUGGCCAUUCAAUUCUUGGCCUCUGUGCUGAGCUGGGCAGCAGUGGUAGCGGUUGUGAGAGUGGUUCUGUGACCAAUAUCUGUCAAGUAGGAACUGCAUUAAGAUCACCUAGUGUUUUGGUGCAUGUUGCCAAACAACUGCCCUUGAGCCAAAGUCAAAUCACUGACCUAGAUAUCAAAGGCUCCCUACCCAUUACCAAUCAUCUCAGAAGCUUGUGUCCAACAUGCUGGACAGCUAAAAGUGUCCAAAACUUUACUCACAAGGUGAGCCCAAGUACAGAGAAAGUCAUGUAUUUUAAACAGAAGCUGAUCCCCUAAUGAAGUGGAAAACUAAAAUGCAGGCAUUAACGUGACAGCACUGCUAGCUGCAGUGGAAUGAUCAACAGAUCAUGUACCGACCUUGUGUUCCAAUUAUAAUAAACUAGUGCUCUUCACGUACA
ensembl:lncRNA